ensembl:lncRNA uncharacterized LOC110091183
GAGCAUUCCAGCCUAGCCCAAGCCCCAUGGAACAGAAUUUCAUUAAUUACCCAGUUUUUCCUAAGUUAUCCAAAGGCCCAAAUUCCCCAUAUUUUUUUCCCUUCCUUUCUUCUUAUUAUAGAAGAGGUUUAUAAAAGCCUCCUCUCAUUCCCUCGGUUUCAAGGCGUUGGUCUCCUAUUGGACCUCUCGCCAUCUGCACUACAAACACAAAACCGGUUCCAAAACUAGUUCAGCUAGCACAGGCUGCUCCCGAGGAACUCUGGGAGUGGUAGUUUCGGACGGGCGGCAGGGACCCUUGCCUUAUAGGGGCAGAGCCUUCGCUCUGAACUACAACCUCCAUGUGUCACUGCAAGGGAAGCCACGACAGCUAAAACGGGUUUCUCUCUGUGCCUGUGUGGCUCUUUACGUUCCGUGGUGUGUGUGUUUGUGUGUCGUGCCUGUGUGGCUCUUUACGUUCCGUGGUUUGUGUGUGCGCGUAUAUAUACUGUAUGUGUGUUUGUGGACGUGCUCUCAAGUCUCCGUUCCUCGGAGGCAACGACAACGGACUCCCAGUUGUUUUGGUCGUCGGGAAGCGAACGGAACUUCCGUCUAAGCGGCGUACGUGUAGGAUCGCGGAUCGGAAGGAGUGCUUUUGAACCGCUUUCGUCGUUCGCAGAACCCACGGGAGGAAAGUUCCUAGGAUAAGACCCUGAACGGAGAAACCAGCCCUUUGUGGUGUUCUGGAUGGUACCGAUUCUGAGAAAGUAGUGGUGGACUUCAGCAGGGAGGCUUUCUGGGCCUGAAUUCUGCCUUGCAAGGGUCAUCAUGCAAAACAACUAUGCAACUGUGGCCUUGCUAGGGUUGCCUGCUGAUGAACCAGAACUUAUUUGCAAAGUGGAGCCAGAGGAAGAGCCAUGGAUCCCAAAGGAGCAGGCUGCUAGGGAGAGGCGGAUCCUGCCUGCAAGCAAGUCAGAUGGUGCUGUUACCUCACCCCAAAGCCCCAUUCCUGGUCCUGCAAGGUCUUACGCAGCUGAACGACUGGCCAACAUCAGAAAGAGGAAACGGAAAAACAGGCAAGAUAUGGCCCUAGAGAUCACACAGGCAGCCGAUAGACGGGUCCAAAUGGCCACGGACAGGAUCCUGGCAGCACUUGGGGAAUACGCCAAGGCAGAUCUGCAGGACCGUGAGCGGGACCGAGUGGACACUGAACAGAUUAUUGCCCUCAUGAACCGCCAGACAGAACUUUUGGAGUCGCUGGUGCGAAAGCAGACUGAGACCCAGGCCCGCGUGUCGCCCACCUUGACCUGGCCUUCCCGGAUUCCUCGGCCUGGGCAGCCAAAUCAUCCUUCCGAAUCGUCUCCCUUGCACUUGGGCGUAACCCGGCGUCCCCUUGCAAGGGCAAGAUACAGGAGGUGAUUCCCAUCGUUGCUUGUGCUGCCUUUUAAAAAGGCCUCCUUGGUAGCUUCUUAUCCUACAGGACACAGAGGGUGGGGAGUAUACCUUUGCAAACGGGUUGUGGCUUUUUCAAGACUUUUUUCAAUCUUUUUACAGUGAAUGAUUUUAUUUGCCAAUUGUAAAAAAAGAA